rnacentral:pre_miRNA from 1 species
UCAACAAAAUCACUGAUGCUGGAGUUGCAUGUGUCAUCACUCAGCACCAGGAUAUUGUUGGGG